AUUGAACGCUGGCGGCAGGCUUAACACAUGCAAGUCGAGCGGAGAGAGGUAGCUUGCUACUGAUCUUAGCGGCGGACGGGUGAGUAACACGUGGGUAACCUGCCUGUAAGACGGGGAUAACUCCGGGAAACCGGAGCUAAUACCGGAUGAUAACGAGAAGCGCCUGCUUCUUUUUUGAAAGUCGGUUUCGGCUGACGCUUACAGAUGGGCCCGCGGCGCAUAGCUAGUUGGUGAGGUAACGGCUCACCAAGGCGACGAUGCGUAGCCGACCUGAGAGGGUGAUCGGCCACACUGGGACUGAGACACGGCCCAGACUCCUACGGGAGGCAGCAGUAGGGAAUCUUCGGCAAUGGACGAAAGUCUGACCGAGCAACGCCGCGUGAGCGAUGAAGGCCUUCGGGUCGUAAAGCUCUGUUGUCAGAGAAGAACAAGUACCGGAGUAACUGCCGGUACCUUGACGGUACCUGACCAGAAAGCCACGGCUAACUUCGUGCCAGCCGCCGCCGUAA
rnacentral:rRNA from 1 species